AUGAGUAUAGCCAAGUGGUAAAACAUCGGUUUUUGGUACUGACAGACAAAAGUUCGAAUCUUUUUACUCCAGAUCAUA